CCCAUACGCGAGUAUGUGAAGGCCAUCUUUCGUAGUUCUCCCUGGACAUUUUUGAUAUGACGGAAGAGGGCUGGCUCUUCGAUUUCAUGAAGGGGCUCCAAUCUACGCCAAAAUGUCCAAGACUUAGGGGCGAAACAGGCCAUCUAGCCUGCUAGAUUGAAAGUACUUAGCCAGGGAGAGUCGAGACCAGGACAAGGGCAGGGGCCUAAAGUAUCGAAAAGGCAAGGACUCUUCCGUUGGAGAUGUUAUUAACCUUUCUCGUAUCAUGUAGACACUGAUAUCCAAAGGGUUUUUAUGCCUCUUUACUUCUGUUUUUUUUUUUUUGAUAAGUAGUCAUUUCAUUAUCCAACAAGCAGUAAAACACUGCUACCAAAUGAUAGUUUCAAACAAUACAAAAUUAUCUAUACUUAGAUGGGAUCUGACAGAUAACUCUUUAUUAGCAUGAUCAAAAGCAAUAUCCUUUGAUUGAGCUAAUUUCAUUUAAAUAAGUAGUAAAAUUAAUUUAAGUGAGAUUGAAUAUAAUAGCAAAAAUGAGAUUAAUUAUAUAGUGAUAAGAUUAAUUAUUGUAUAAGUGAGAUUAGAAUCAAUGAUGGGUAUAUAAUUAAAUUUUUAAUAUAUUUUUUACAUUUAUAAGUUAAUUUUAAUAACAAAUAAUAAAUUUAUUAAAAAAUAAUAAUAAUGUUUUACGAUUAAAAAUUGAUUUUUUAAAAAUAUUUUUGGGUAUUUAUUUAUUUAUUAAUUUAUUAAGUAAUUAUAUAAAUGAUUAAUUAAAUAAUUAUAAUAAUAUUAUUUAAAAUAUUUAAAUAAAAAGAAAACUAAAAUAAUCAAAAAACAAAUAAAUAAUUAGAAAGACACAAAAUGGCUACAAGUGAUAGGGGUAUUUUUGUCCUUACACUGGUUCUAAAGGUAGAAAUGGAAAAAGGACGAGGAGCAUGGGUAAAAAAAGAAAGAAUGCUGCAAUAAGAGUGGAAUAUUUUCACUGGAUCUUUAAGGUCCAAUCAGUUUUUAAGCUUCCAUUGCAGUCAAAAAGCAUGAAAUGCAUUGGCCUUUGUUAUCAAAACACUUCAUUAGUGCAAUCGUAUGCUUCAAUUGGAUCUCACUGGGCUUCAGUUGAAAGCAAAUGAAGCCUUAAUCUGACAGCAUCCUUGAUCUGCCUCAAAGCCUGCUCACCAAUGUUUCUUCAGAAUUGUACAAUAAUUUCUUCCCUCGAAACCGACUAACAACCCAUUGGAAUUCAUCCUCCUAAUCAGCAAACUACAUUGUGCAGAAAAUAGAAAAAAAAAUCUAACGACCAAGGGUUUAAACAAUAUGAGGUCAACUAGGUUUUUGAAUUGAGGAAGUGAUACAACCAUGGAAGAAGAAACUCCAUUGCUUUCCUAUUUAUGGUAUUAGAACUAGCAACUUAGGAUUUUAUUUUUAUUUUCAUGUGCAAGGGCAGAUUGAAAAUUUUAGUUCCUUCGCCUAAGGGUUAAGGUUUUGAUGAGUUUUUAUUAUGGAGUUUCUAGGAGUUUAUUUUAUUUUCUUGGUUUUUAAUUAGUAAGUUAUUCUUGAAACUGCCAUCUGAUUGGUAGCAGAUCUGACCCAUUGUUGUCAUUUUUCUUUUUGGUUUUGGUAUAUAUAUAAGAGAAAGGAUUAAUUUACAUAAUAUAAAAAUUUUUAAGUUUUAUUUUUUUAAUUUUUUAUUUUAAUAUAUUUUAAAAAUUGAGAGUGAUACGUAAACAUAAAAAAAAGUUUUAAUAAAAUUUUUUGAAUUUAUUAAAAAUAAUGAUUACAAAUAUAAAAAAAUAAAUUAUAUAAAUUGAUCCUUAAAUAAAAAUGAUAAAUUGGUGAAACUGCUACCUAAUUAGUAGCUAUACUGAAAAUUCUCUAGUCAGCAUCACCUUGGGUGAUAGGAAUUGUUUUAUCCUUUUUAUUUCUUGAAAACUAUAGCAAGGUUCCAUAUUUUCCCUUGCUUCAUCUGUUUUUGUCUAUAUAAAGUUGCUGAUAUUCCUCAAAAAGAAGUGUUAAAUUUGGGUCAAAAGAGGAAGGUGUUUGUACUGAUGAAAUCAAUUAACUACGAAUUAUAAGAUCACUCACUUUUAUAAAAAAAUUUUUGCAACAAAACUUUAUAAAAGAAAUCUAAAGAUAAUUUGAACAAAGAGAGAGAGUUUUGCAAGUUGUUUUUGUUCUAUAUCUUCAAAAAACUAUAGGAGUUUUAUAUUUAAAUUGUCUUUUGAAUUUUACAAAAAUAAUUGUCUAUUUUGAAUAGACAUAAUUUGUCUUAUUUAAAUAGACUUAAUUAUUUAUGUUGAACAAAUAUAAACCAUUUAUAAUUUGACUGUUUUGAAUAAAGUUUAUUAUCCACACUUGAUUACAAUUAAAAUUUUAACAAAAAUAAUAAUUUUUUAAUGCACUACAACUACAAAGUGUCAUUUUUAAAUAUCAAUAAAUAUUAAUUAUUUAACUAAUGCAAGACCAACCAAACUUGAAAAUCCAAAUCCAAGGUCCAUCUUUGUGCUUUAGCAAUUUAAAUCCAACUACAUUUGGAUUUCUACUCUUAAUUUAAAUGGUUGUCUUAUCUUUUCCUUUUCCAAUAUGGGAUUACUUCUAUACUUUAUUUUGAAAAUCUCUAAUAAUCUCCAACUAUUUUCAAAAUAAUCUCGAUUUAUGAUAAUAUUAGAAAUCAAUUGCAUAAAUGAAAAUAUCUUUUGAUUUGAACAUUCAUUUAGUGAAAACAAGUUAAAGUUAAUCAAAAUUGUAUGGUAGACUAUACUUUGAAUAAGCUAUUCCAUUUGAUUAAUUGAACUUAUCUCACAUAAUGAUUUUAACACCCAAUGAAUACUUGGUAUCCAAUUACACUUUUAUUGUUAUGUGUUUGCAUUCUCUUUUUAUAAGUGCUUUUACAAUCAAGAUCUUGAGCUUUUAGAAGCGGCUAUACUUUACACUCACAUAGGAAGUAUUCAUUAAAAGUAUUCCUGUAACUUUAACACUUUAACAUAUUUAUAUUAUGGGUUUAUUAAGAGUAUAUUACUCAUCAUUCCUUUACCAUUAAAGGUAUCUAGCACUUUUUCUAGGAUGGAAUAACUAUAAGGGUUUAGGUUUUUAGUGGCUUUUUUUUUUUUUAAUGUUUAGCGACGUUUAUAAACACCACUAAAAGAUUUACAACGUUUUGCAAAAAAUGCCAGUCAGAGUACCAACUAUACACGUUUCACAAAAAAUAAUAGUAUUUUUUAUAAAACGUCACUAUAUUAGCAGUGUUUAUAUCUAGAAAAUGUAACUGUAUAUUAGCGACAUUUGCAUCUAAAAAACGCAAUAAUUUUAGCAGCGUUUAUAUCUUUGAGACGCCGCUACUUUAGUGAUAUUUUUAUAAGAAAAAUACCGUUAUUUUGGUGACGUUUGUAUAAAAAAAUGUCACUAAUUUAGCGGCGUUUGUGUUUAAAAAUAUCGUUAAAUGCUAAAAAUAGUGACGUUUAUAGUAAAAACGUCACUAAAUUUAAUGACGUUUUCUGAUACAAACAUUACUAAAUUUAGCAUUUAGUGGUAUUUUUAAAUACAAAUGUCGUUAAAUAAAAAAUUUUACUUUUUGUUAAUUUUCUUUUAAUAUUUAUUGGAAGGAGUCGCACUUGCUUUGAAUGGAGCCUACAAUGCCCAUUCCUCAUCUUAGCUUCAAUUGCUAAAAAGAACAUUUCUCUAGGAACCUCAAAAUGUGCUGUUAGAAAUGCAUCACAGUACAUUUCAUUUAUCUUCUCCAUAACUUCAUGUUUCAUCAUGAUUGAAAAAUGUCAUUGGGUAAGCUAUAAAAAGUACCAUAAAAUUUGUAAUGUAAGAUAAAAUCAGGGAAGAUAUACAAGAUCUCAUUGUUACAUACAUGCAAAAAAAGUAGAAAAACAAAUUUAACCAAAGCAAUAAACUAAGAUAUAUUUUUUGGCCAAUGAUCAAGAUAAAUACACAAGGUAAAAUGAUGUACAGUCCCUCUCUGAGUGCAUUUCACGAAAAUACCUUUUAUAAUGAUAGUUCUUCCAUUUUGCAUAUUUCAUUAUAAAAUUGCUAGACUUGAAAUGUAGUGCCAUAUAAUUUGAGGGAAGGAGAAUAUACAAAAGGCUGGGAGAUAAAUCUUCAAUCAAGUUCAUAUUUGAUUGCAUUGGAAAAAGAUAAAGAAUAUUUAAUUCCAUGAAGUUUAUAAGAUAAACCAUUUCAAAUCAUAUUUUCAGGUCGUAAAUAAAUUCGUAGAAAUAAAUGUAUUCAAAUGCUUUAAGAGGGAAAUAAACCAAUCUUUCAAAAUAAAAUGACCACACAAUAAAGUUUUAAGAGGGAAAUGCAAAUUGUGUAAUGGAUAAAUCAACUAUGCUGCACCUUGAACUAAUGGUAUAGCUAUGUCUAUCGAGAUCAAUGCUUUUUUUGACUUAGUAGUAGUAAAAAAUGUAUCAUGGAAUCAUCAGAAAGUAAUUGGAAAAAGUAUAAAAGACCAAUCCAAGUUGAUAGGCCUAUAGUAUGCACCUUUCAAUUGUAAAGGUUUCAUAAUAAAAUCCAAAAUAGCAAAUGGAACCAUCACAAUGGUUUCCACCUACAAUGCAAAAUGCCAAUUUAAAUGACUGCCAACUUGUUAGCUAGUUAUCUUAGAUUAACAUAUGGGCAGAGCAUAGAGCAUCACAAAAUAUGGACAAUAGUAAAACUUGGCAUAUUUAAAAUAAGGAUGGUUCUUUUAUUCUUAAACUAGGAAGGAAUUAAAGAGAUCAGUUUAACAAAUACCUGUAAAAAAGCUAGAAAAAAAACUUACUAUUCUAUUGUAAACACAUUCGAGUGCAUAUCUAAUUGACAUACACAUGUAAAAGAUUGCUAGCCAUGCUGUUUUAUGAUACAAAAGUAAAAGAAGAAUAAGAUUCAAGGGGAUGACAUCAACAAAAAAGUUUCUAAUUGAAAGAGAUAUAAACACAAAGGGCACGUUGCAUAUAACUCCCAAACUCAAUAGUUAAUAGCAAGAUGACUGUGAUUUAUAGGUGUGAUAAAAUAAUUAGAUUAAACCCUAAAACUAACUUUUUUUAUAAUGGGUCAUACUAAAACAAUUAACUUAAUUUCUUGUUUCAACAUUAAAAGCCUGAAGCUAGAACAUCCUUUUUUUACCUUUUUCAAUCAUACCAAUUUAUGGAAAAAGCCAAAAUUCCUUGACUUUUGGGAUAAAAUAACUUUUUGGUCACAUUUAGAUCUUCAUUCAAAUAAACAAGUAAGAGUAUCUUAACACAUAUCAACUUUAGGAUACAUUAAAUAAAGAAAAUUCUUAUACAGAUAAGUUAUCAACAUUGCAAGUAUAGUAGCCCAAACUUUAAAGCAAUUGGAUCAAAACAAAUCCAACUCCAAACCUAAACACACAUAUAAUUGAAAUAGAAUGCAUCUCAAAACCAAUAUAUUAAAUUUGAAUUUUCAUUUUUGUUCCUUUAAAUUUUCUUCAAAACAAGUUGGAAUUUCAAAGAUCUAUAAAAAAACAUUAUGAGAAAUCAAUUUGAAAAUCAAAAGUUGAAGAAAAAUCACACAAUGUAAUGAAAGAACACAAAACUGCAACUAACAACUAACUUGUAACCAAAUGUGAAUUAAUUGAUCUACAUCUAAUUGAUGCUAAAACAAGUGAUCAUAAACUGAAAUUGAAAAUAUCAAUUAAGGAACGGAAAGGAAAACUGAUUUGAAGAACAAAAAAUGCAAGAAAAUACAAGAAUUAACUAGAAACAACUAAAAUAUAAAGUGAAAUUCAACCGAAACUCACUGAGUUGAUGAAAGAAAAAAUUAGGUCUAUAAGCUUAUAAUGAAAAUGAACUUGAAAUGAGCUAACAAACAAUUCAUCAAUCAAGUUUGCUACAAAAUUCAACAAGAAAAUGGUAACAAAAUAGAGAAAAACCAACUUAAUAAACUAGCAACUCAAGUGAUACUCAAAAUAGAGAAAAACAGAGCAUUAACAACUAAAUCUAUCCAAACACCAAAUGAAUUCAUGAAAAUAAUGCAAUCAAUUAAAAAAUAAUGAGUAAACAUUUAAAACUAAGAAUGUAAAAUAUGAGAGAAUCAAAUCGAACACCUAGAAGAAGAGAGGAUCAUCAUUCAUCAAGUUCUCAUGCAUGGAUCAUUUUUACCUUUUGGAUUCAGCUUUAAUUUUGAAGAAUUAACUGUACUUGUAAAGAUGGAAUUUGACCCUGAGUUUUUAUUGGAUUAUAGCUUUAUGAACUAGGAAUCUAGAAAAAACUUUUUGAAGUAAAUCAAGCUAGAAUUCACUUUGAUCAAAAGACUAAAGAUAGGUCAAGUGUGCGAUUUUGAAACCAGAUUUGAGUUCAAUGUGAAUUUUAUAGAAUUUGAAAAGAAAAUCAUAAAAAUUUGUAAAUUUCAUUAUGAAAACCUUAAAGAACAUUCAAAAAGAAUCUAGGAAACCUAAAAUUGUAACAAGAUUCAAUUAAGAAAAUUGAAAUUAAAAGUUGUUUGGUUGGAAAGAAAAUGAAAAUGAUAGCAAAUCAAGUUCUGACAAGAAAAAUGAAAGGUAAAAUAUCAGUUUGUGCUCUAAGUUACACUAGCAAAGAUAUAUUGGAAGUAUAAACUUCUUAUAAGACAGUUGAUUAGUCAUAAAAUAUGGCUUAAACAAGCUUCAAGAAAGUACGAACAACCAUCAACAAAUAUUAGAUAGACAUUCAUGUGAAACCAUGGCCUUCCACCCUAAAACCCCUUAGUUUCUGACAAAUUAUUAAAAAAAGUUCUUUUUGUAAUAGAAUAUAAGAUUCAAGUACAUUCAGUUAUCAUGAAUUUAUACUUUUAUACAGUUCUCUUGAUUUGAAAAAUCUUUUUUUAAAACAAUUAUGUUUCUCACUUUCUCUCACACUCACCUAAGCACAUUCAACACAGUAAAUCGAACAGCAAGCAAAGAUUUUUAUAUUAAACCAGUAGAGAUAGAGUUAGAAUCAAUGUAAAGCAUUCACAUAUAGAUAUGAGAUAAGUGAGAGCAACCUUGUGCUGGAGUACUCAAAGAGCUUUCUAGUGGCUGAAAAGACUAGAAGAGCUAUCUCAGUAUUACAAAAAGUGGAAAGCUCAUGAGCUUUCUUAAAAAGUCUUCGUCUUUUUUUUUAAGAAAGUCACAUGCCUUAUUGCUACAUUGUCAAUCUUCUUGAUUUGAAUUUUCUUUCUCGCCAUUCUCUUCUAAGAAAAAAACUGAGGAAAGAAAGAAAAUUACAAAGAAAAAAGAGAGGGUUUCAAUUUUGGAAAAAAAUUUUAGCUGUACCAUUUUUCACAAUAACAACAUUUACUUUAAAAAAAUACCACUAUUUGUAAAAAUGAUUAUUGAAGGCAUUUUAAGCAAAAAAAACACUUUCAAUAAUCCUCUUAAAUUUUUUAGAGAGGAUUAUUGAAGGCGUUUUCUGCAAAAAAAAUACAUUUAAUAAUUUCUUUUAAUUUUUUAAAGUGAAUUAUUGAAAGUGUUUCAGGCAAAAAAGGCAUUCAAUAAUCCCCUUAAAUUUUGAUGAGAAGAUUAUUGAAAGUGUUUUUGGCUAAAAACGCUUUUAAUAAUCCCCUCCAAUUUUUUAAAGGGGAUUCUUGAUAGCAUUUUUUGAUAAAAAAUACCUUCAAUAAACUCCUCCAAUUUUUUAGAGGGGAUUAUUAAAUGCGUUUUCUACAAAAAAAUACCUUCAAUAAUCCUUUUCUUUUUUUAUGAGAGGAUUAUUGAAGGUGUUUUUGCACAAAACACCUUUAAUAAUCUCCUUCAAUUUUUUAUGAGAGAUUAUUAAAGGUGUUUCAGACAAAAGAUACCUCGAAUAAUCUGCUCAUAAAAAAUAGAAGCGAUGAUUGAAGGCAUUAGUGUUUUCUGCUAGAAACGCCUUCAAUAAUCCCCUUUAAAAAUUGUAAAAGAUUAUUGAAAGCGUUUUUAGUAAAAAACUUCUUCAAUAAAUCUCUUUGUCAAUGAAUCUACCAAAAAUGGAAUAGUGUUAUCGGUUAAAGCAUACGGUCAUUAAUCAUAAGGUUGUAGGUUCAAUCAUUCUCUUCAAUAUUUUUUAAGUUUUUUUGAAGGAUUAUUAAAGACGUUUCUGACAAAAAACGCAUUCAAUAAUUCCCCUAAAAAAUUAGAGACGAUUAUUAAAGGCGUUUACUAAAAAGAUGAGUUGAACCUACGACCUUAUAGUUAACGACCGUAUACUCUAAUCGACAAUACUAUUCCAUUGUUGGUAGAUUUAUUGAUAAGGAGAUUUAUUAAAGAUUUUUUGACCAAAAACGCCUUCAAUAAUCUUUUACAAUUUUUUAAAAAAUUAUUAAAGGUAUCUUUUUACAGAAAACGCCUUCAAUAAUCCCUUCUAUUUUUUAUGAAAGGAUUAUUCAAAGCAUUGUCUACCAAAAAUACCUUUAAUAAUCCCCUAUCCAUUUUUUAUAAGAGGAUUAUUGAAGGCGUUUUCUACAAAAAAAAUACCUUCAAUAAUCACUUUAAUUUUUUAAGAAAGGAUUAUUCAAGGUGUUUUAGUCGAUAAACGCCGUUAAUUUUUGUCUUUAAUGACGUUUAUAAGUAAUAAUGCCGCUAUUUGAAUAUUUAGUAGCGUUUUGAUAAUAAACAUCUUAGGUUAUAUAAAAACAUGAAAGCUAACGAUGUUUGUAAGUGAAACGCCACUACAAAAUUGCCCCUAAUCUUUCAUUUUCUUAUAGUGAAUUAUAUAUUUUAUUAUAGUGCUACCAGUCACAUAUAAAUAAUAUACUUUGUCUCAUUGAACUUAAAAUGUUAUAUCAAGUGUUGAGUCAAGUUUUUAUCAUGGAUAACUUUAACUUAUGACAUGGAGUCCCAUCCCUAGUAAAGUCUUUUUUUAUUAAUCCUCUAGUAAGACUUUUGGUUUAAAAAUCCACCAAAUUUUGACUUGACCUCAUAUAGUUUAUAGUGAUCACUCCAAAUGAAGUUAAUUGUUAAACAUAACUAUGUCUCAAUCCAAUAUGUCUAGACUUUUCAUAUAUAUAUAUUUAGCUGUAUACCUUUGCUAAAGUUGCUUCACUAUCACAUCAGGUAGAAAUUAGAGAAAUUAGUUUAGAACAUAAAGGCACUUCAUGUAACAAAUUUUUUAGCCAUUUUGCUUCUUUAGCUGCUAUAACCAACGCAAUAAACUAGAUUGUCAUGGUGGAAUCCAUUAUACAUGUUUGUUUCUUAGAACCCUAAGAAAUGGCACUCCUACCAAGUACAAAGAUCCACCUGCUUAUAGAAACAUGGUAUUCCAUAUUAAUAAUUGAACUAGCAUCAAAAUAUUCUUCUAAAACUUAAGGAUAUCCACUAUAACCAGCCCAUAAUUGAUUGUUUUCUUAUAAUACUUUAGUACUCUUUUAAUUGCUUGCCAACUGGAUACAUCCAUCUAUAAUAAACAUGUCUUAUAAUUUUUGGCUCUUUAGCCAAAUGAACCCCCAAAUAUAUCACGAUGAUAAAAAUUGAAGGAGUGAAAAUCUUCGUCAAUUGACAAAAAGUGAGCACAAUCUUAGACCAGAGCUACUCAAACUCGUCUACUUGGAGAACUUAAGCACAUAAUGACUUGAAAAAUUAACCUAAUUUAACCAUAACCAUGGUCACAUCCCUAGGAAAAAGCCCAGGCAAUGCAAGUUCAAGAAACUCCUCAAUCAAUAUGUGGCAAAUGUGACUUUUUAAAGGUAAAAUUUUGUAAUCUUUGAGAUUGACACAUUGAAAGAUAUUUGAAGAGUAACCAUCAGGGACUUUGAUACUUUUUAAAAAAUAUCUUUCUCUUUUUUUUGACAUCUAAUAGCAUGUAUGAGGUUUAUGAAGUCUACCAUCUCCGUCUUUUUUUGGAUGUAAUUCUUUUCAUAUACCCAAUGCUUACAAGUUUAGACAUUCAUUCAAAUUAUCCUUAAUCUUCCUCUCCAUAUUUAAUAAAAUCUGUAAAACAUUAUCACAAACAUUUUUUCUACAUGCAUUAUAUCUAGAUUAUAAUGCAACAAUUUGAUUACUCUAAAAUUUUAGCAUUUUCUUAUCUCAUUUUAGUGCUAUUCCUCUUGAAUAUUGGCUUAUUCCUUGAGAAAUUUGACAAAAAUACUCUUAAAUGCAUAAAUAUUCAAUGUGUAGGUGAAAAUAUGAGAAUGAAAGAAAUUUGGAGCUUCUAGACUCAUUUUGGAGGAAAUUUGGUGCACAAAGCCAUGAAAAACUAAAACCAGUGUGUUUGUGCUACAUUGCUAAUAUAUGAGUUUUCCUUACCCUUUCUUUUUUAUUAUUUGAUUAGCUUAUUUGAACUCAAUUAAACUUUGCAUCAAGCCUUAUUCCUCUUAAUUUUCAUUUGGAAACGUUUUGCUUAGUUCAUUAGUGUAUUAUUACCUUGUAGAAUUUUCACAAGUGCUAGAAAGGUAAUAUGUGCAUUAGUGUAGUUUGAAACAUUCUUUGGAAUUGAUAAUUUUUUAGAAUUUUUCAUGCAUAAAUUUUUCAUUAAAUGGUUUGUAUUUGACAUCAAAUUGAAAGAGAAAUUAGUUACAAUUGAGACCAAAACUAGGGAGUAAAAUUCAACCAAGGCUAUUUGAUGCAUUAGCCAUGUGAUCAAGAUCUUGUGGCUUCAUUUGGAGAUUCAAAAAGAGGCCAAUUAGAGCUGUUUAGCUGGCCAUUUGAAGGCUUCUAAUUAGACAUAAUAUUGACUUUUUGGAGUUUAAAGAUCAAGAGAAGAAAGCUUAAAGUGAAAGUAAGAAGAAGCAAUCAAGUGAGCUAAGGGUGUAAGUUAGUUAAGAUAGAAAGAUCUAGAAAAUGAGGCAAUUGAGCCUACAUUUUCAUUGGUUGAACCAUCUUACUUUUGCCUAUAAAUAGGGAAGAGUGGCCAGCCAUAGGGAUACUUUAGCUAGUUUUAUGUUGUUUUCUUUUCCUUUCAUUUACUUUCUUUUCUCUCUAAAUAGUUUCCUCCAUGUGUUUUAGAGGAUUGUUUGAGAGAAAAUUACAUUUAUUUUUCAGCAAAAUUUACUUUCCUUGCCUUUAUUUUUUAUGCACUUUAAGAUUUUUUCAAUUAAAGUUCAAGAUCUUUAAGUUUUAAAGUUCAAGUUGAAGCAAUUUCAUUUGUUUCUCAAAUCUGUUUGGCAAUUCAUGUUUUUGACCUAGCUGCGGUUUUUCUAUUGAAUCUUAAUCAAAUCUUACUUGUUUCAAUCCAAUAAUUUUUUGUGGGUUCUUGAUUCAUUGUUCUACAAUUCUAGAAAAAAUUGCAUUCAAAUUCAUUCCACACAAUUCCAAAAAACAUUUCAAAGUUUUAGUUGAAUCCAAAAGGUGAGCUAGAGUUUGAGUGAGAGAUAGCAUUUCAUGUUGCUUUUCUCCUAGAUGGGUGUUUGGUUUGCAAUUUCUUCACUUUACAUUGUUUAAUUCAUCAAUUAACUUGUUAAAUUUCAUUUGAUUGCAUUUAAAUUCAUGCAUUUAAAUUAUAUUUGGCUAAUUUUCUUGUAACUACUUUGUUUUUCCUAUUAUUGUACUCGGUUUGGAUUUUAGUUCAUUGAACUUGGAUUUCAAUUGUCUUAUGCAAUUUCUUUGUUGAUCUAGGUAUUAAAUCUAUAGAUCUAUGUUUUUCUAGCUUAGUUCAAGUUCAUUCCCUUUAGAGAACUCUAUAUCUAAAUUUUCAUCCAAGAAAAGAUAGUUUCCAGCAUGCAAUUUCAAUAAUGGUUUUUUAUUAUUUCAAUUGUAAUUUAAAUUUUGAUUUGAUCUUCAUUUAUGUUCCAUUUUUUAAGUUUCCAACUCGUUUGGUCAUUUCUUAAGAAUUUUCUAGAUGUUUUUCUUGUUAAAAGUCAAUAGUUAGUUAAAGUUAGUUCUUUUGGUUUACUUCCUUUAGCUACUGUUUUUGUUGAUUUUUACUAUUGUUAUUUUUGUUUCUUAGAUUAGAUUUGCAUUUAAUUCAUGAUGAGUUCAUUGAAAUCUAUUUUAGCUAUGUUUUAAUGAUUUUUAUACUUUAAUUAGUUCAUAUAUUGUAAGUUCUUUUCCUACUAGAAUUAAGCUUUAUGCAUUGUUUGAUUUUACUUUCCUAGUUAGCUUAGUUUCAUGUCAACCUUUCGAUUGAGCCAACUUUAAAUAAAGUGUAGGGACAAAAGGUAUUUAGGCUAAGAACCUCUUUAACUAAUUAUCAUGGGAUCAACAUUUAGACUUUUUAAUCUCUAUUAUUACUUAAAUGAUCUAUGCGCUUGCAGAAAAAAUCCCAAUCAUAAUGCUUUUUUUAUUAUUAUGCUCCCAAUACGGCAAAGUAAAAAGAAUGCUUUUUUUUUUUCAAGUAUCAAAAUGAACUAGAUUUUUAUUUCCAAAAGUAGCAUGCACAUUUUCUACUUGACUUAAAAUCAUAGCUCAUAAAGGUGAAAUUAGGGCAACACUUAGUUAUUGAGUGCCAUUAAAAGAGGAAUUAGUUCAAAAUUUAUGAUUAAUAUCUAAAAACUGAUGAUUACCCAUGAAACAAUGUUUUCCCCCAUGAUCUAGCCAUAAAUGACAUGUAUCCUCAGAACAACGAAGACAAGCAAAUAAACUUUUAACAUUCCAACCAAACAAAUCACCAUAUAUAGAAAGUCGUUUAUCUUCCACAUUAAUGCAACGCAUAAUUAAAAAUUAUCUCUAGCAAAAGCAUCAAAGGUGUUUACAUACUAGAAGUUGUAAGUAAACGUAAAUAUCAUUUACAUGUCCAUUCUUACUUGGAAUCACUAAGAAAUGAAUAAAACUUGACUCUUUCAUGGACAACAAAUGAGGUAAAUUAUACGGUAUCACCAUAACAUGCCAAACACUAUACUUAUUAUUCACUAUUCUAAAUGGAAUAAAUUCAUCAAUAGCCAAGCCUAGUCUCACAUUACGAGGGUCUAAGGCAAAAUUAAGAUAUCGUAAUUCAAAAUAUUUUUAAGCAAUAAAGUCAGUUGGAUGUAUAGUCUUUCCAUUUUUUUAUGACCUUUAUCAUGCAUACCAUGGUAGAAGCCAUUUUUGGAGUUUAGGUUUCAAAGGAAAAUGACAUAACACCUUUAUAGCUUUUUUUCUUUUUACCAAAAAAAUUACCUUCCAAAUUAACAUUAUCAUUCUACGCCCACCUAGAAGCACCACACACAUAACACAAGUCUUCAUUUGUUCUUUCUUUUGGAAAUAACAUAUAAUCAUUUAGACAAGCAUAAAUAUUUUCAUAUCUAAUACCUAAUUCACAAUAGGAAUUAGGCAAGGUUUGACCCUCGAAAAGAAUCAUUUUCAUUAAUGAAAGGAGAAACUUGAAUGACUCAUUACUUAUCCCACUAGAAACCUUUAUAUGAAACAAAUCUAUGAUGACAGAUAAUCUAGAUUGUUUUUUAAAUCCCAUAUUAAAUUCUUGGUUAUAAUCCUUUCACACUUUAUAAAACUUCUCCACUUCAAUAUUUGGCUAUUUUUAGAAUUGUUUACUAUCACUCCCUCCAUUAGAAAAUUGAGAAAAAUCUGUUAUAUUUUCAUUUUCAUCAACUCUUAAACUCUCUUCAACAUUAAGGAAUCUAAGUUCUUGAAAGCUUUCAAAUUGAAAAAACCUUUCGAUAAAUGAGACUCAUAAGUAGGCAAUGAAGUUUCACCAUGACAAACCCAAUUAGUAUAAUCAGACAAAAACCCAUUGCAAAUCAAAUGCUCUUGUACUACUUCUAAUGGUAUCCAAUGCAUAUUGACACAUUUCAUGUGUGGACAUAAAAUCAUACCAUCUCAGCAUGCAUUUUCAAAUGUAGAUCUUAAAAAUUGGCUAAGUCCUUACAUAUAUUCACUAAUAAAUCUAGAUCUUUUAAUUUAAAUAUUAUCCAUGGUUGUAGUACUUAUGGAAAAAGAAAGUAAGUAAUGACGAAGGAGGACACAACAUAGAAAAUAAAGCAACUUUUAAGAAUUAUAAAAUAAUGAAAAUCAAUUUAUUCUAAAAGUUAUAUUCACAUGAACAACAUAUCAAUUUAAAACUUUCACAUCACAAAAGAGCCUAAAGAAUAACAUCAUCUUAUUUCUCCAAUCAACAUUAAGACACUAACCUAUUAAUAAUACCCAGGUUAAUUUACAAAAUGAUAAAAAAGGAACUAACCUUGUUAUCAAUAAGAAUAAGUUCAUACAAUAUCCUGAUUCUUUUGAAAAUUUUCUCCCUAGCAAUGGCAACAAUUGAAUAAAAAAACAAGAAAAAAAAUCAUUAGAUUAUUCACCAAAGAUGUUUAAAUAUCUUUUUAAUAUAGGAUAAUAAUGAAUCCAAUCUUAAUACUUAUAUAUAUAUAUAUUAUCUAUAUUACUAGGGAGCAGAGCAUCUUUAAUUACGAAGAUCAAAGCAUUUGAUGUUUGUCAAUCAAAUAUUUUGAGUUAUUUCAAAUUGGAUUUCAAUCAAAUGUUUUAAGCAAAGAGAUUGGGAAUAUGUAAUAACUAUAUUAAUAGAAAACCUAGCCUCUAGCUAAAAUCUAAUGAAUGGCAUCAUUAACAGCUUAAUCCUCAUAUCUAAUAGCAAGUCUCAUUGUUACAUCCAUUGGAUCGUUAAUUUCAAAUCACAAAUCAUCAAAAAAAUAAAAUCAAAAUGAAAAUCAAGAAAUUAAAACUUACCUUAGCUAGAUUAGACUUGAGUUUUAGCUUGAUUGAUCAACAAAAUCAAGAUAAGUAAGACCACCUAAGACUUAAACUUGAUCAAAACAAAAAUAUUAUUAGCCAUUUUAUACAUUACAAAAUCAGAAUCAAAAUGAAGAUAGAGAUUGAUUUUAAUGAAAGUACUUGGCUAGGAAAUGGCAUUGAUGGAGAAGACAACAAUAGUCGAGCUGAAAUUAAAGAGGAAAAAUUAGGGAUUUUAAAAAAAUUAAAGAAACUUAUUUGAAAAACAAUAGAUAAAAAAACAUGAAAAGAUAGGGAAUGAGAGGAAGAUGAAGAUGACUUGAAGAACAUAAAGGAUUAGCAGAGAGUUUUGUAGCUUUGGAAAAUUAAAAAAAAUCCAAAUGCAAAAAUGAAUUAAAAGAAGAGUUUAGAGUUUUUUUAGUGGGUUAAAUCCAUUUAGCUACAAAAAGCAGUGAAAAAUAAAAAUGAAAACAGAGCCAUUUUUUGUUUUUAUUUUUUUGGCAAAUAAAAAUAUAAAUAAAAACGUGUUUGAUAAUUGAAAAUGAAAACAAAUUUUUGUAAAACAAAAAUGAAAAUAGAUUGAAAUAUGAAAAUAAAAAAGAAGAUGUUUUCAAUUGUGAAAACAAAAUAUCUACAUUACUUUUUUUCUUGUGUUUUUCAAGUUAUAAGAUUUACACACUUUUUAAUGUCAUUAAUUAAUAGAUAUAUAUUAUAUUUAUAAUUACAUGCCAUUAAUAGUAAUAUCAUUAAUAUUUUAUUUAUUUAUUUAUUUAUUUACACAUUUUAAAAAAAAUUAUUUUCAUUUACCAAAUAUAUUUUUAAAAAACAUAAAAUAAAAAGUAAAAAAUAUUUUUUCAAAUCAAAUAUAAUUUCAAUGUAGAAUUACUUUUUAUAUUUUAUUUUAAAAAUCCCUACCAGCUACUAAUUUGCAUAAUGCAGUACAUACUUGUAGUGCACAUUUGUACCAUUCAUGAUUCCAAAGGGAUUCUUGUCAUAAUUCACACAUGAAACAUAAGCAAAGGUUAGUUAUGUUUAUUGCAACAUUUUAAAAGUGAUUAUAAGUGUCAGAUUCUUCUUCAAUGGUUGGAGAUUCGUUUCUUUUUCACCUUUUAGGCCUGUGAAAAAGAAAAGUAUGACCAGAAGUGAAGAAAGUAGUCCCGUUUUUCAAUUUAAAAAAAAAAAAAAGUGAAAAUUGAUAACUCAACAAAAUCACUAGGGAAAAUCUUGGUUAAUUUUUUAAUAAUUUUAAGCAUGCAACGAGAAAUAUCUGGUCACAUUUCUUCAUAAUACUAGUUGCAACAAUUGAUACCAUUAUUGUAUUAAACAUAUAUAUAUAUAUAUAUUUGUUAUGAAAUGCACUGUGCAGUCCGUUCGCCAUUGAAUUCAAAGUUGCUAUAAUCAUCAACUUUCAGUCUCUGUUAUCCAGAUUACACCCAAAAUCUGAUCCAAUAACUCCAAGACUAAUGCAUGGGUAAGCAUCGUUAUUCCAGGUUUCUGUUGCAUUUCAAAGUUUUUUGUUGCAUCUAAAACUGUCUUCUCAAAUUUCAGGCAGCAACGGAAACUCACCCGCUUGAACUUGUUCCAGCUACGUGAGGUCCACAAAAUUUAUGAAUAUCACUAGUAACAAGCAUAGUUGUAACUGUGAAAUAGAAAAAAUAAAAAAAGGAAAAAGGAAGAACAAAAAGUAUGCAUAUUUAUGCAUCAUAUUGAUAAUGUGCACGUGCUUAAUUAGUUACAAACUUCAAUGUACUAGCAGAGCUUUCAAAUUGAAAUUAAUUUGGAAAUAUUGAAGGCUGCAAUAUAUACGCUUGUAGAUGUGAUUAAAUAUUUAAAUGCAGAGUAGGAUGAUUGUUUAAUCAAUGGGUUUUUUUAGGCCAACAUUUUAUCAAUGGUUGAAAUUGCCCCCACUCUAUAGCAUCGUACUUAAAAUAGUACAAUUUUAUACAGAAAAAAUGCAAUGCAAUUUUUGAAAUAGAGGUAACCUAGGAAGCAUAUAAAUAAAGACUCAAACUGAUAAUACUGUCUCAUGGGAAUGAAAUAAUUCUCUUUUUCAAUAAGAUUGGAUCAUCCUAUAUCUGGAGAAUGAGUAAUCCAGUUCCUCACCCUAUCCUUCUUUCCAAGUAAUUACAAAAUACGGUACAAAAUUACUUUUACCAAACACCCUGGAACAUAUAACGAAGUAAAUUCUCAUCGGAAAUGAAUCAGAUAGGUGAAACUUCUAGAGAAGAUGCAGAUAUUGAUAUAUACUUCUUCCUCUUGUGAUUGUGAAAGGUGAAUGAAGUCAAUGAACCACAUUUAAACAUCUGGCUUGCUCGCACUGUUCAGUAAGUUGUACCUUGUGGUGCUAUGAACAAAUAAAACUAUGAUUGGCGAUGGUGACACGAGUACUGGUGCCUCUGCUGCUUUCGCCAGUUUGAUUGAAGACUCCAUCUUCGAACUUGAGCAAAGUAUCAAUUAUCUCCAUCAGACGAUCAGGCAGGGCUGUCUUAACAUAAUCAUGUAGACUCAAGUCUCCUGUAAACAAGCUGCCAGUGAGACUUUUUCCCGUGAACAACUCCAUUAAAAGGAUGCGAUAGCUGCACACAUCACCAAGUGUGGAUAUUUCCUUUCCCAUACCAUAUUCUGCAAUUCGAAGAAUUUCAAGAAAGUACCACCAUCAUCAAGAUGAAGAUCAAAUGCAAAAUAUAUCAACUUUACUUGAUGACAAAUUAAACGAAAAAUAGUUUAAGGAUCGUAUAAACUUAACUCUGCAGGAAGUAGGUGCUAAUGACGGAGGGAAUUACCUGGUGGAACAUAUCCCACAGUUCCUGUUAUCCCAAUAGAACUGCUUUGCUCAUUAAUGGAUUGGCCAGUGGUCAUUGGAAGAAACUUUGUUAGGGCCGAAAUCACUAGCAUAGGCAGUAAAGUCACUAUCAAGAAGAACGUUGCUUGGCUUUAGAUCACAAUGGACAACCGGCUUGUCAAAUUGAGAAUGAAGAUAAUCUAAUGCUGUGGCCACAUCAAUAUCUAUGUUGAGCCUCUGGACUAGAUGCAAGUUUCUUGAAAGCUGCAGCUCAGUUGAGUUUGGAUGUAACCAACUUUCUAAACUCCCGGCAUAAAUUCAAACACCAAAGCUUUGAAGCUGUUACCUUGAAAAUCAAUAUUUGAGCAAGAUGUAAUGAUCUUCACAAGAUUUCAAUGUCUACAGGGAGGGAAUCAAUUGAUUUUUCAAGUUUUUGCAUAAGUGAACUUUUUGGCCAAAAAAUGAAUCGAUACCCUUGCCUAGGGGAUCAAUCAGGUCAAGCAGGUGAUCGAUCCCUUUCCUUCGAUGUUUAAUCCCUUCUAUCUCAUUUUGCCCAAAAUUGUUUUUGUUUCAUUUGUUUAGUAUUCUUUUGAUUCAAAGGCAUUUUUGGCAAGAUGAAAAGCUAGAAAAAUGUUCUAAUUCAUAUUAAAACAACUUAGUUCAUGUUAAGCAAAUUUUUGUUUCGUCAUUUCAAAAUAUAUUGAUCAAUUCAAGGCUAACAUUCUCCCCCAUUUUGAUAUGAUAAAACCAAAUGAAAAAAUUUGCUUUGAAAAGCAUUUUUCCUUUUAAAAGUAGGCUCCCUCUGAAUUUAAGCAUAAAAACUUAUUUUUAAUAAGCUAAGAACAAGUAAAUAGCCAUCCAUUAUUUUUGGCACAUUAAGCACAAUAUCAAGAGCAUUAAUAGAUAAGGCAAUACCAAGAUAUUCAUAUAAGCAUGAGCCUAAGGAUUACUCCUCCUGUAACAAGUAUUCAAUCCAAAAUAAGCAAGUCAUCAAAAAUUUCAAUUUGAGUAAAUAAGCAAUGUGAUCAAAAUUUCAUUUCAGACCUUUUCCCAUUUUGCAAAACCUUUUCCAAGUUUAGCCAAAAUUUUUCAUUUCAUUACUUCUCCCCUUUUUUGUCAUAGCAAAAAGAACAAGACAAUUAAAGUAAUAUGGUAAUCAAUUCAAGGCAACAAUAAGCUUAAUAUAUGUUCAAAUCAAACCAACUUAAUACCACAACUCAAUGCCAUAGCAAAUCAAUCAAUAUACCAAUUGCCACAUAACAUCUAUUUUAAACCAACUCCAACACAAUAUAACAAAUGCCAUUAUGAAAAUGAAAUGCAUAUGUCAUUAAUAUAAUUGUGAAGUCCCAAGGUUUAAAAACAUAAUGCAAACUAUCUUUAGGAAAAUUGAAACUUAAAAAAUUUAGAUAUGUAAGGAAAACAUGUAAGGCAUGGCAUCAAAGUGGAUCAUUGAGAAGGAGGAUAAGGUGGGAAAUGGUGAAAAUGCCUGGUUAAUCUCAGUCCUCAUUUGGUGAAUUUCUUUAGUCAUGGCAUUUUGAUUUAACUCUAAAUUUUCAAGUCUUGGGUUUAUGUCCCCAACCAUGGAGUGCAAGCUAUUCAUUUGAACCAUCAUAAUUUGUAAUGUACCUUGAGUAUUAAACGAUGGACUAAAGGGAUCUUCUUAAGGUACAUAUGGAACAUCUAUAGCAUCAUGCUCUCUUCGUCUUAGACAACCAAUUUCAAUCUUUCUAAUCCACAAACCAACUGCAUUUUAUGUAUAACUCAUAUUAUGCAAAGUAUGAACUCCAAAAAUGCUAAAUGGAUCAUUAAGUGUAAUCUUUUUAUCACUCAUAAUGUUUAUACCUAAUUUUUUCAAUAGAUUAUAUACAGCAAACUCACAGAUCAAAGUGUAAUCUCUAUUUUGCACCACCUUUAUCAUGUCAUUAAAAAUAAAGUGCCCAAGAUUAGUUUUCUUCUAGUGUUUAAUCUGAAUUGCCAAAUGGUGUCAAAACAUGGGUAAGUAUAAGGUGUAACAGGUUAUCAUGCAUAGGAAGUUUAGUAGCCUGUGUAGGAGCAACUCUCAAGUUUUCAUUCCCAAUGAUAUCUUGAACUAAAUCCAACAUAUUGCACUUAGUAUUUGUGUCCCCAUUAUCAUCUAGCAUAAAAGUUUUAGUCAAUAAUUUAUUAUUAACCAUAAUCUCUUUACCCAUUACGAAAGUUUUGGUCAAGAUAAUAUCUAUUUUCAUUCCCUUCAAUCUCAACACAUGUAGCAUUAUUAUAGAAUACCUUAUUCUCAUAAACUAUCCCAUCAAUGCACAAAUAAUUCAUCCAACCAAAAUCUUCAAAUACAUGCAGAUAAGGAAACUCAAUCGUUUGGAAAAAUUCAAGAAAUAUUACUCGUUUAUGCUUAAUCUUCUUACGAGCAAAAUUUGCUUCAAACCUCUUCUUAGUAGUAGGAUUCUCAAAAUUUUGAUUGAAUAAAGGCUUAAUUGAUGAACUAGAAGUCUCCCUUAGAGGAUUCCUUCUUGGUCCAACACCUCAUUUGGUUUUAGGUGCCAUAGAAAUUUUUUUUGGAAAAUUGGGUAUUAGAAAAUAGGUAAGUUUUUAUGAAAUUAAUGAAGGAAACUAACAAUGUUGGUGAUAAGAAGUGAUAUAUGUUUGUAAGAAGUAAAACUAUUAAGUGAAGGAUAAAAGUUUAAAAAAGGGAUCAAAAUUCUAGAGAGAGAAAAGAAUGAGUGACUGGAGAUGAUUUUGGUGUGAUUUCUAUGAAAAUAGAUGAAGAUUUUGCAAGAAAAUAAGAAAACUUAAAAUUUUUGCAAGAAAUUUUGAUUAAAAAUAUGAGUUUUGAAAGAAUUUAUGAGAGAAAAAACUAGGGUAUAAGGAGGCAAUGGAAUAGAAAGAGGAAGGGUGACGCUUCUAUAGGGUUUUGAUGAAAAAGAACCAAAAUUUGGAAUGCCAAAAUGGGGCAUUUUUGACACCGGAGUAUUUGCACAUCAUACAACUUGGGCUGAGACUAAAGAUGACUUUUCUAAAAAUAAGAUGAGCCUAUCAUUAGUCCAAAACCACUAAAUAAAUAUAUAAAUAAAGUGGAUUGAAAUAGGGAGAUUGUGUUCACACUAACUAGAAAAGAAGGGCAUAAAUAUGGAUGAGAUUAUGGUCAGAUUCAUUAUCAUAUAAUUUAUAGGAGUAAAUUGGCAGAUUAUGUUCAUAUGUGUAUCGCAUGAUUUUAGGCACAAUUCUAGUAAUGCAAUCUGAAAUUUUUCAUGCUUUGAGGGAUGUUCCUAGCCUAUAUAUUUUCUAUUAUUCUUUGGUAGAAGGUAGAAUAGAGUUUUUUUUAUCCUUAAAUAAUUUUUUAAAUUGUUCUUCAAGUUCUGUAUCUCUUAGAUGGAUUUCUUAGAGUAGUGAACUUCUAUUAUUUUGUAUCCUUAAUUAGAACUCUUAGGGUGGUGUUUUUGUAUCCUUUAGUUUUUAGUCUUGGUGGUGAACGUUUAUUCUUUUUAAUCCAAUAAUCGUAUUUUGUCGUUAUUCAAAUUCUUGUGAAUUAUUUUCUUUAUGAGUUUUUCUAUUUGCAAUUAAUCUCCGCAUCUCAAACAUCAAUUCCUGAAAUUAAAUUGGUAUCAGAGCUAUGGCAGAUCAUCAUCAUCAAGCACCAAUAGAAGAGGUUAAAGCCAACACCAAUGUUGUAGUAAUUACUAAUAUUGACCUAAGGGAUGCCCUCAUAUAGAAGAUAUAGCAAUAGAUCCUUUAAUUACAACAUCAAUUUCAUAUACAAUAAGAGAGAGAGGAGAUAAUAAGGCAACGAAAGAGGAACAAAGAAGGUGAAGGAGAAACCAAUCCAUACAGUGGAAAAAAUAACGAUUCUGGUGAUAGCACUUUAUCUCAUCCACAGCAAGUUAAAGAUUAUCUAUGCAAAAACCAACUUCAACCUAACAUAUUCAAUAUGAAUAUAGAGAUUCUCGAGCUCAAGGGAAAUAUGCAACUUGAAGAAUUCUUAGAUUGGCUAUACAUAGUCAAACACAUAUUUGAAUACCAUGAUGCCCUUGAACAUCGCAAGGUUAAGCUAGUGGCCAUCAAACUUAAAAAAGCAUACAUCCUUUUGGUGGAAAAAUCUGAAGAAGCAAAAGGAAAGAAAAGGUAGGAGAAAAAUUACAACUUGAAAAAAGAUGAAAAAAGAGUUGAAGAGAAAGUAUCUCUCAAACAACUUUUGGCAAGAUGUCUUCUUUAGUCUUCAUAACUUAAAGCAAAAAGAUCUCUAAGUGGAGGAGUAUACAACUGAGUUUGAUCACCUUAUGUUAAAAUAUGAAUUGGUGGAAUAUGAGAAGUAAACUAUUGCUCGGUAUCAUGGAGGAUUGAAGAUUAAGAUAGCUAAUGUGGUGUAGUUACAACCUUAUUGGACUUUCAAUGAUGUAUACAAGCUUGCCCUUAAGGUGGAGAGACAAUAAAAAAAGGCCUAUGGUAGCAACUUGAGAUUUAGGUCCCAAGAAGGCAAGCCUCUGUCUAGUGAACAAACUAAAAGGUGUUUUAAAUGUCAAAAGCUUGGACACAUUGCCUCAGCAUGCCCAAACAGAAAGAUUGUGACUUUAGUAGAGAAACACUUGGAGGAAAAUAAAGAGGAACAGGCUGAAGAGGAUCAAAACCUUAAAAAGGAGGAAGAGGUAACCUAUGGUGAUUAUGAAGCAUCUUUAGUUAUACAAUUAGCUUGAGUAUCGCACCUGUUAAAGAAGAAGAUUGGUUGUAUAAAAACAUAUUCCACACUUAGUGUACUACCCAUGAAAAGGUACAUAAUGUUAUAAUUGAUAGUGAAAGUUUUGAAAAUGUUAUUUCUACUUUUAUGGUAUAGAAGUUAGGCCUCAAAGUAAUGGAUCACCCUUAACCAUAUAAGCUAUCUUAGCUGCAGAAAGAGAAUGAAAUCAAGGUGAACAAGAGGUGUUUAGUUUUUUUUUCCAUAGGAAAAAAAUUAUAAAGAUGAAAUGUAGUGUGAUGUAGCUCUGAUGGAUGCUUGCCAUUAACUGCUCGAAAGACCUUGGCAUUAUGAUAAGAGGGUUAUUUAUGAUGGUUACCAUAACACUUACACAUUUAUGAAAGAUGGAUAUAAAAUCAUCCUAUGCCAUACCAAGCCUAUGAUGAUUUUCAAACCAACCAAAGAAGAAGGAAGUAGCUUAUUUACUAAGGUCAAUUAUAGAAAGAAAAUUAAAAUGAGUGAUACCAUACAUGCAUUAAUGUUGAUUGAGGAGAAUAAAGAUAGUGAGAAGUCCCCUAUAAUGAUAUAAUCAUUAUUAGCAGAAUUUCAAGAUGUUAUUCAAGAAGAGUUAUCAACUGGUUUACCACCAAUGAGGGAUAUUCAACACUAUAUAGACCU
rnacentral:lncRNA from 1 species